rnacentral:rRNA from 1 species
CGACCUCAGGUCAGACGUGCGCCCGGAGUUUGAAAGCAGCGAAAGCUAACGAGGAUUCCCUCAGUAACGGCCGAGUGGACAAAGCUCAGCGCCGAAUGGCGCCAAGUUUCGGAAGCCCCAUCCCCGCCGCCUCGCGGCCAAGUCCCCGAUCGAGGGCCCGCGACGGUGGCCGUAGCGGCCCCGGCGCGCCGGGCCCGGCUUCUCCGGAGUCGGUUGUGGGAAUGCAGCCCAAAGCGGUGUAACUCCAUCAAGGCUAAAUACCGGCACGAGACCGAUAGCCAACAAUACCGAAGGGAAAGUUGAAAAGAACUUUGAAGAGAGAGUCAAGAGGGCGUGAAACCGUUAAAGGUAAACGGGUGGGGUCCGCCGCAGUCGGCCCGGGGAUUCAACCCGGCCGGCCAAGGUCGGCCGGCGCGGCGCCCGUCGGAUCCCCGCCUCCGCCUCCCCUCCGUCCCUCCCCUUCCCGGGCGGGCGGCCCAGGGGGCGGCGGCCGGGACCGCCGCCCGGCCGGCGUCCGCCCCCGUCGGGCGCAUUUCCUCCGCGGCGGUGCGCCGCGACCGCUCCGGGACGGCUGGAAGGGCUGCCGGCGGGCAGGUGGCCCGGCGCCGCGCGAGCGGCCGCCGGGUGUUAUAGCCGCCGGGCCCGGAUCGUCGCCGAAUCCCGGGGCGAGGGAGAGGACCGCCGCCGCGCCCUCCCCCGGAGGGGCGGCCCCCCGGAGGGCCCCCGCGGCCGGACCGGCGUCGGCCGGCCGCGCCGCCGCGCGCGUCCGCGCCGCCGCCGUACGCCCGCCGCUCCUCUCUCUCCGUUCCCCGCCCCGGGUCCGUCCGGGGCGGCGGGGGGGGGGUCGGGUGUCCGGCGGCGCGGCUCGGCGCGGCGCCGCGCGUGUGCGCCGGCCUCCAGCCCGGCCGGGCGAGCCGCGGGGCGCGGGGGGAACCUUCCCCCUUCUGUUCGGGCCGCCUCCGUUCCCGCGGGGGCGGCCGUUCGGGGGACGGGCCCGCCGGCCCCCGGCGCCGCUGUCCGACCGGGGGCGGACUGCGCUCAGUGCGCCCCGACCGCGCGGCGCCGCCGGGCCGGGCUCGGGCCACGCCAGGGCGCCCGGCGUCCGCGGCGACGUCGGCUACCCACCCGACCCGUCUUGAAACACGGACCAAGGAGUCUAGCACCGCGCGCGAGUCGGCGGCUCGCGCGAAAGCCCGCGGCGCAAUGAAGGUGAGGGCCGGCGCGCGCCGGCUGAGGUGGGAUCCCGGGGCGGCAGCCGGAAGGCCCGGGCGCCACCGGCCCGUCUCGCCCGCCUCGCCGGGAGGUGGAGCAUGAGCGCGUGCUAGGACCCGAAAGAUGGUGAACUAUGCCUGGCAGGCGAAGCCAGAGGAAACUCUGUGGAGUCCGUAGCGGUCCUGACGUGCAAAUCGGUCGUCCGACCCGGGUAUAGGGGCGAAAGACUAACGAACCAUCUAGUAGCUGGUUCCCGAAGUUUCCCUCAGAUAGCUGGCGCUCGGGCGGCGGUGCAGUUUUACCCGGUAAAGCGAAUGAUUAGAGGUCUUGGGGCCGAAACGAUCUCAACCUAUUCUCAAACUUUCAAUGGGUAAGACGCCGGCUCGCUGGCGUGGGAGCCGGGCCGUGGAAUGCGAGCGCUCAGUGGGCCACUUUUGGUAAGCAGAAACUGGCGCGCGGGAUGAACCGAACGCCGGGUUAAGGCGCCGAUGCCGACUUCAUCAGAGCCCAGAAAAGGUGUGGUUGAUCUAGACAGCAGGACGGUGGCCAUGGAAGUCGGAACCCCUAAGGAUGUGUAACAACUCACCUGCCGAAUCAACUAGCCCUGAAAAUGGAUGGCGCUGGAGCGUCGGGCCCAUACCCGGCCGUCGCCGCGGUGCGGAGCCGCGGGGGCUACGCCGCGACGGAGUAGGAGGGCCGCUGCGGUGCGCCUGGAAGCCUGGGGCGCGGGCCCGGGUGGAGCCGCCGCAGGUGCAGAUCUUGGUGGUAGUAGCAACAUUCAAACGAGAGCUUUGAAGGCCCGAAGUGGAGCAGGGUUCCAUGUGAACAGCAGUUGAACAUGGUCAGUCGGUCCUAAGCGAUAGGCGAGCGCGUUCCGAAGGGACGGCGAUGCCCCGUGCCCUCAGCCGAUCGAAGGAGUCGGGUUCAGAUCCCGAAUCGGCGGCGGAGACGGGCGCCGCGAGGCGCCAGUGCGGUAACGCAAGCGAUCCGGACCGGCGUGAGAGUUCUCUUUCUUUGUGAAGGCGGGCGCCCUGAACGGUCGCCGAGAGGGCCGCGCUUGAAAGCGUCGGUCCGGCGCCGGGAGCUUCUGCCGUGAAAAUCCGGGGAGAGGGUGUAAAUGCUCGCGCCGGGCCGUACCCAUAUCCGCAGCAGGUCUCCAAGGUGAACAGCCCUGGCAUGUUGGACCAAUGUAGGUAAGGGAAGUCGGCAAGCCGGAUCCGUAACUUCGGGAUAAGGAUUGGCUCUAAGGGCUGGGUCGGUUCGGGCUGGGGCCGCGAAGCGGGCUGGG